CUGCUGUGGGGGCCACUCUAAUCUGAUCCUAUUCCUGUGCGUUCUUGCCUUCAAUGUCCACAGUUAUCAGCACUAGUGCGUUUUCUUUUGUGGGAGCUCUCAAUGGCUUUUUAUAUAUUCCAUAGACAUAGAGGCUGUCUAGUUGACCGUGUGGAUUUAAUCUGCAGCUUGUACAGCUGGUGGGAAGGUUUUGGGUCUUCUUCCUUAGACACACUGCCCCUGGGUUUCAAUUGUGGUUUUAUUCCACCUCUGCUUGUGCAUCGUCCGCUGGGCUUUGCUCCUGAGGCUGCCCUGGAGGACUUGGGUUUGCCCCUGUGAGGGACAGGUGUGGAGGUGGUGCAGCUGCUUGGGUCGCAGGGAUUCUGGCAGCACCAGGUACUCAGGGGAGUUGGCGGCUAGGGCAGCAGGAAAUAUAGUGCUCUAGAAGGGCAUGGCAACCAUUAUUGGCCAAUACACUCCAGUAUUCUUGCCUGGAGAACCCCGCUCCCUGACAGAGAAGCCUGGCAGGCCACAGUCUACAGGGUUGCAAAGAGUCAGCCACGACCAAAGCGACCCUGCAUGCACAGACAGAAGACUUAUUUUGCCUGUGGCAGCUCUGCCCCACUAAGAGUUGAGCGUGAAGGUGGUGCAGCUGCUUGGCUUAUAGGGACCCUGGCGGUGCCAACUGUGCAGAGACAUGGACUGCCUUCGCCACAGGAGUUAUGGCCCUAUCAGUCUUUGUUCCAGCUUCUUGUAGCUGGCGCUCAGGCCUCUUUGGCCAGUCUUUCUCCACAGCUCCGCCCGUUCAGGCACUUAAAGGGUUCCCUUGCCUGGGGUCCUUCUCUGUUGUUUGGUGCAUCAGGCACAUAGAGGAGCCCCCUGGCUGGGAUCCUACUCUGUGGAUCGGAGCAGCAGGCACUUAAAGGGGCACCCUGGGUGGGGUCCUAUUCUGUAGUCUAGUGCCUCAGGCACUUGCUGGGCCAGCCUCUUCAUUGUUCAGCUGCCAAUGCUGGCCUGUGUGGGGAAAGAGGCUACGGUGAUGGCUCCACCCCCUAUGCUGGACUCAGUGGUAUCGCCUUGCUUCCACGGCUGCUGGGCUUUCCUCCACAGACAUUUCCCCCCACAAUCUCUUCCCUCACAUCCCCUCGAUCUGUCUCUUCACAGUCAACAGCAGCCCUCACCCUGGGAUUGCUCCACAAUCCCUAAACUCCAGCUCCUAGCCGCUGCACCUUCCAGGGAACCAGCGUUCCUGUCUGGGGUAUAUAUGGCUGUGGCAAGGACUGUCUGAUUCUCAUUCCAUUUAGGGUGCCACAGAUCAGUUGUUUCACUCUCAGCCUUAAAUGUUUUUCCUCUGCCUCAGACAAUUGCCCUGAUGUGGGGAUUGGACUCCUGCUUCAGUUCCCCAACUUGUUGAGAGCUGGUCCAGUCCCACUAACACUCCUGUUUUUCCCCCUGGUUCCUUCAUCCUAUCAACGGACGUGGUUCUCUAUAUUCUUUUCCACUGGUCAGGUACUCCUGUUCACUCUCAAGGGGUAUUCUGCAUGCAUUUCUGUGUCUGAAGAUGUAUUCCUGAUGUAUCCAUGGAGAGAGAUGUACUCCAGGUCCACCUACUCCUCUGCCAUCUUGUUUCCCCCCUAAUUUGCAUUUUAAAGAAUAUCUCAUUGGAUUUACAGGCACUUCUCAGACCACUUAGGGACUCAAAGAGUUACGUUCCAUCUGAAUUUCUACCUAAAGUUUGCCAAAGGUCAAAACAGCAAAUCAGUCAGCUCACAGAUGUCUCAUCAUGUGCUUAAUG
ensembl:lncRNA